CUUUCGAAUGUCGUCAUAUCAGGGACAUGUGUCUCGUGUAUAAGCAGCUUGCAGAUUCUCUUAAAGCAAUGUACCUCGUAUAGUGAAUCAGUGAUAAAUGUGGUAUGUGCGAAAAUGUGCUUUGUAAGUUGGAAACCGAAUGCAGAAUUCUUAUAUGCGGAAAAAUGAACUGGAGGUGCAUUAACACGGUCUCGAUGAGGAAUUUUGUUUCUCUGUAUUUGCCGUUUCGGAGGCUGGCAUACAACAGUGAGGGGUGCAUUGAUCCUCAAGUUUGUUCCAACUCACAUGGCGUGAAGCUGUCGACCGAAACCAAACGACGCGGCGGUUAAGGUGUGAAGAAACUUGGACGGUGUUCAGAUCAUGAAACGUUUGUAUUUUUAGAGUUUAUCUAAGGCGGGUAUAAAUUUAGUUCGUCGGAAAUGACUUUUGUAAGGAAUUGUGAGGCAGUAAGGUGAACGUUGGCUUAAUGAAUGCUUUGCGAACAGACUGCGAAGUAGUACUUAAUUUUAACACUAGUGAUUUUUAUAAAUCGGUGAUAUGUUUACGGACUUCGUCAUGAACAUCGCUGAUAAUUUUGUUGUCCUGUUACAAGGAUUUAACCCUUUCUUUGGAUGUUGUGAUAUCACGUUCCCUGCAAUUUUUUUUUGCAUUCUGUUUGUGUCGACCAACUUCAGGAUUCUGUUUUCGGUAUCGUUUCUGAAUGUUCUUUUGGUAGUUUUUCCCAUUUGCUUUUUUCUGACGUCUUUAUUGUCUGUUUGUUUAUCACUCGCCAUUCUGUACAUUGAGGUCUCUCUGAGGGAACUCAUUUCUCCCCACUCCAUUCUUGUUUCGUCUUUUGUCGACACCCAUUGGCUUCAUAUAGGACCUAAAAACAUUUGCGUUGCUACUAUUCUAUAAGAUUUUAGUAAUCAUUGUUUUUGAUAUAUCCCUAGCUUCUUUCUUAUGACUGUCGAACUCUAGGACAUCAUUUUCCUCUCUCUCUCAGAGUGACCCCACAUCUUAAAUAAGUUAUAAAUUACAAAUUUUAAAGUGUUUUAUUAUCUGGAUCAGUGUCUGCUCUUGUACGCAUAUAUUCUUUUCACAUAAAUGCAGUUAUUUUUGAUUUAAGAUGGAAUUUACAUGUCGAACUAAUUAUAUUAGCGUGUGUAAUGUGGAAAUGACUCUCUAGAGAUCAUCUUUCAUGCAGGUCACAGAUCUGAUCUUAAAGGCAAAAGAAUAUUUAUGUGAAUCGGAAUCAUUGAGUCCGAAGAUGACUGUCUUUUGGGUUGUUGCGCCUUGUAAUCAGGUACAAGUUUACCGACGUUUCAGAGGUCCUUGCUACCCCCAUCAUCGCCCUUAUUGCACUGCGCAGCAACCUAGAAGACUUGAAAUCUCACGUCUUUGAAGUUAAUUGCUUUUGAUUUUUCUCUCUCAAAAAAACAUCACGCUUGUAUUGAACAGAUUAAUAACAUUCAAGCCCGACGCCUUGAUGUAUUAUUGAUUGGUGUUUGAUAUAUUAUUUUAUUCACACUGUACCUCCAUUUUAAAUUAUUAUUUAAGUAUAUAUUUAUCCAUAUUGUACUGCUCUUAUUACGUUUACUGGGAUUUUUUUUUUGAUUAUGCGUGUUUAAAACCUUUUCGUAGUUUGCAAAUGCAAUGCAUGUUGGGAGUUCUCAACUUUUCCACCACGUGUACCAUUUAAAAUAGGCCAAACGAUGCGAAUGUAGGAUAAUAAAUAAAAGUUUUCCCCAUUUAUAUACUUCGAAAAUAAAGUUGUGUUGUUCGAUAGAAAAUGUGCCUACAAUGAAACCGCACCUGCUUACCUGACUGUGGUGAAAUUGUCCUUUGUCCUUUAUCGAGCCCCACCGAUGCGGACGUAGCCUGUUAGGGAGGGAAUGGUUUGGGCCCAUAGCUCAAUGCGCACACCACGAAUUGCGUUAUUUUGUGCUCCAUUGUUUCAUUGUUUGUCGUCUUGCCCCACGUGCCCUUUCUCAUUUAACCAAAACUUUUAUUUAUUUAUAAAUCCAGACUGUUGAAAUAAAUUGCUCAACUGUUGUGGCGAAUCUGUGCGUUGCACGUCCGUUAGAAGUAAACGGCAUGGGAAUCAGAGGGGCGUGGAGGGGUAACAGAUAAAUAAGCAGCAUUCUGUUCAAGCAUGUACCAUCGGUAGCGCCUGUGACCAGGCCUGACCUGAAGCCACUCGCUUUCUUACGAUAUACUCUGCCAAGAGUCCUGAAGAAUUGAAUGACGCUGUAGAUCAUUUCGUCACACUCCUGUUUUACAUGAGAAGGCACGCCGUUUGAGUAACUGCCUCGGCGAAGAUAAUAUUUCUGGACAAUGAUUGGGAAAAAAAUGCUAAUCAACCUGACAUCCUCGUACCACUAACAGUGGUAAAAGUAGGCUACUUCCUGUUUCACAAAUAUUUCGCCACACAGAUACUUAGGUGUUAUUUGUAAUGUGAAGGACGUUUACGGAGUAGGAUUUGAGAUUGUCACGACGGGAUGGACGCAGGAAGGACCUCUAAA